CUAAGAAUAUUCCGCAAUGGACGAAAGUCUGACGGAGCGACGCCGCGUGGAUGAAGAAGGCCGAAAGGUUGUAAAGUUCUUUUGCUAGGGGAGAAUAAGUGAGGGAGGGAAUGCCCUCAUGAUGACAAGGACUAGCGAAUAAGCCCCGGCCAACUACGUGCCAGCAGCCGCGGUAACACGUAGGGGUCGAGCGUUGUUCGGAAUUACUGGGCGUAAAGGGCAUGUAGGCGACUUGGUAAGCCUGGCGUGAAAGACUGCAGCUUAACUGUAGGGAUGCGGUGGGAACUGCUUAGCUUGAGUUACGGAGAGGGAGCUGGAAUUCCUGGUGUAGGGGUGAAAUCUGUAGAUAUCAGGAAGAACACCGAUGGCGAAGGCAAGCUUUUGGUCGAUAACUGACGCUGAGGUGCGAGAGCUAGGGAAUGAAAAUCGUCGAGAAACCCGUGUAAUC
rnacentral:rRNA from 1 species